rnacentral:rRNA from 1 species
AUUGAACGCUGGCGGCAGGCCUAACACAUGCAAGUCGAGCGGUAGAGAGAAGCUUGCUUCUCUUGAGAGCGGCGGACGGGUGAGUAAUGCCUAGGAAUCUGCCUGGUAGUGGGGGAUAACGUUCGGAAACGGACGCUAAUACCGCAUACGUCCUACGGGAGAAAGCAGGGGACCUUCGGGCCUUGCGCUAUCAGAUGAGCCUAGGUCGGAUUAGCUAGUUGGUGGGGUAAUGGCUCACCAAGGCGACGAUCCGUAACUGGUCUGAGAGGAUGAUCAGUCACACUGGAACUGAGACACGGUCCAGACUCCUACGGGAGGCAGCAGUGGGGAAUAUUGGACAAUGGGCGAAAGCCUGAUCCAGCCAUGCCGCGUGUGUGAAGAAGGUCUUCGGAUUGUAAAGCACUUUAAGUUGGGAGGAAGGGCAGUAAAUUAAUACUUUGCUGCUUUGACGUUACCGACAGAAUAAGCACCGGCUAACUCUGUG